UCUAUGCCCCACAAAUCUGGGACAAACUUCCAGAAGACUGUAAAAACAUCUGAAACAUUGCAUUCCUUUAAAUCUAGGCUAAAAUCCCAU